UGGAGUCACCUUGGAGGCGAGUGACCCAUGAGCGACGCCGGGUCAUCGUGCUCGAGUUGGACCGCUUGGCUGCGACGACGUCGAGCUAGAUCGACAUGGUGUUCGUCUGGCUUGGCAUCAUUGUGAUCGAGUGGAGGAGUGGCGAGGCGAAGCAGGUGGCUUCAAGCUCCGCGGUGGAGUCACCUAGGAGGCGGACGGCCCAAGAGCAGCGCCGGGCGUUCGCGCUCAUAGUUUCACGAGUUUCUUCGAGAGUGCGCUCUCAAUGUAGUUUUGAUCCCUUUGGGAUUGGGGUAAUGUACAUAUAUGUUUAGCGAUCUCGCCGG
rnacentral:lncRNA from 1 species